rnacentral:rRNA from 1 species
GCAUAUCAAUAAGCGGAAGGAAAAGAAACCAACAGGGAUUGCCCCUAGUAACGGCGAGUGAAAGCGGCAACAGCUCAAAUUUGAAAUCUGGGCCCUUGGGUCCGAAUUGUAAUUUGUAGAGGAUGAUUUUGGUGCGGUAUCUUCCGAGUUCCUUGGAACAGGACGCCUUAGAGGGUGAGAGCCCCGUACGGUUGAAUGCCUAGCCUCUGUAAAUCUCCUUCGACGAGUCGAGUAGUUUGGGAAUGCUGCUCUAAAUGGGAGGUAAAUUUCUUCUAAAGCUAAAUACUGGCCAGAGACCGAUAGCGCACAAGUAGAGUGAUCGAAAGAUGAAAAGCACUUUGAAAAGAGGGUUAAAUAGCACGUGAAAUUGUUGAAAGGGAAGGAUUUAUGACCAGACUUUUUCUGGGCGGAUCAUCCGGUGUUCUCACCGGUGCACUUUGCCCAGUUUAGGCCAGCAUCGAUUUUCGGAGAGGGAUAAAAGCUUUGGGAAUGUGGCUCCUCCGGGAGUGUUAUAGCCCAUUGUAUAAUACCUUUCUGGGGAUCGAGGUACGCGCUUCUGCAAGGAUGCUGGCGUAAUGGUUAUCAAUCACCCGUCUUGAAACACGGACCAAGGAGUCGAACAUUUGUGCAAGUGUUUGGGUGUUAAACCCUCACGCGUAAUGAAAGUGAACGGAGGUGAGAGCCCUUACGGGUGCAUCAUCGACCGAUCCUGAAGUUUUCGGAUGGAUUUGAGUAAGAGCAUAACUGUUCGGACCCGAAAGAUGGUGAACUAUGCGUGGAUAGGGUGAAGCCAGAGGAAACUCUGGUGGAGGCUCGCAGCGGUUCUGACGUGCAAAUCGAUCGUCAAAUCUGCGCAUGGGGGCGAAAGACUAAUCGAACCAUUCUAGUAGCUGGUUAACCGCCG